rnacentral:rRNA from 1 species
ACGUAUGGGGCAAGCGUUAUCCGGAUUUACUGGGUGUAAAGGGAGCGUAGGCGGUAUGGCAAGUCAGAAGUGAAAGCCUGGGGCUCAACCCCGGAAUUGCUUUUGAAACUGUCAAACUAGAGUGUCGGAGGGGUAAGCGGAAUUCCUAGUGUAGCGGUGAAAUGCGUAGAUAUUAGGAGGAACACCGGUGGCGAAGGCGGCUUACUGGACGACCACUGACGCUGAGGCUCGAAAGCGUGGGGAGCAAACAG